GAUGAACGCUGGCGGCGUGCCUAAUACAUGCAAGUCGAGCGAAUGGAUUAAGAGCUUGCUCUUAUGAAGUUAGCGGCGGACGGGUGAGUAACACGUGGGUAACCUGCCCAUAAGACUGGGAUAACUCCGGGAAACCGGGGCUAAUACCGGAUAACAUUUUGAACCGCAUGGUUCGAAAUUGAAAGGCGGCUUCGGCCGUCUCUUAUGGAUGGACCCGCGUCGCAUUAGCUAGUUGGUGGGGUAACGGCUCACCAAGGCAACGAUGCGUAGCCGACCUGAGAGGGGGAUCGGCCACACUGGGACUGAGACACGGCCCAGACUCCUACGGGAGGCAGCAGUAGGGAAUCUUCCGCAAUGGACGAAAGUCUGACGGAGCAACGCCGCGUGAGUGAUGAAGGCUUUCGGGUCGUAAAACUCUGUUGUUAGGGAAGAACAAGUGCUAGUUGAAUAAGCUGGCACCUUGACGGUACCUAACCAGAAAGCCACGGCUAACUACGUGCCAGCAGCCGCCGCAG
rnacentral:rRNA from 1 species